CAAAAAGCAGGGUUCUGUUUUGUACAUAGAGACCUCACGUAAAUGUCAGGGAAAUCGAAUUGGUCAUCGUGUUUGGGUGAACCUACGUUUCUUUUUAUAUCUGAUGGGUUCAGUUCAUGAUGGUAUAUUU
rnacentral:snoRNA from 2 species